rnacentral:tRNA from 1 species
CCCUGGGUAGUGCAAAUGGUUGGCACACUUGGCUGCUAACCGAAAGGUUGGAGGUUUAAGUCCGCCCAGAGGCA